rnacentral:rRNA from 2 species
UCCGCAUGGAAGGGCCAUCGCUCAACGGAUAAAAGCUACCCCGGGGAUAACAGGCUUAUCUCCCCCAAGAGUCCACAUCGACGGGGAGGUUUGGCACCUCGAUGUCGGCUCAUCGCAUCCUGGGGCUGUAGUCGGUCCCAAGGGUUGGGCUGUUCGCCCAUUAAAGCGGUACGCGAGCUGGGUUCAGAACGUCGUGAGACAGUUCGGUCCCUAUCCGUCGUGGGCGUAGGAAAUUUGAGAGGAGCUGUCCUUAGUACGAGAGGACCGGGAUGGACACACCGCUGGUGUACCAGUUGUCUUGCCAAAGGCAUCGCUGGGUAGCUAUGUGUGGACGGGAUAAGUGCUGAAAGCAUCUAAGCAUGAAGCCCCCCUCAAGAUGAGAUUUCCCAUUACGCAAGUAAGUAAGAUCCCUCAAAGACGAUGAGGUAGAUAGGUUCGAGGUGGAAGUGUGGUGACACAUGGAGCUGACGAAUACUAAUCGAUCGAGGACUUAACCA